GGACAGCGGGUGUGGGAGUCUUCCUUCCCUUGCACCUCCCCAACCCCCACCCCACCACCCAGACCUGCAGCCCGUGGUAAUUGCAGGGAAACAGUCUGUUCCUAAGCAAACAGCACAUGAAGCAGGUGCCAGGGCGCAUUCAUUAAUCUCCCAGGCCCAGAGAAGGGAAGAAGGUCUCUGAGGAAGGGGAGAGGCCCUCCCAAGCCUAGACCCCAGCCUAGAGCCCAGGUAAAGGAAAGAGGGGGGCCUGUGGAGGAAAGGGAAGAGGGAGACAGGGAGGAGGGAAUCAGGUAAGGGGCACUGCUGUCCCCACCCCUGUCCCCCUGCCAUGCAGUCACUGGGCAAGAAGUUGCCACAAGAAGAACUGAAUGGAGGGGAGUUCGAGGAGGGGAAGGAGAAGGAUGCUGUACUGUUCCCGGCCAGGACAGAAGCCAGUCUUGGGAAGUGACACUUGAGUAACAGAGCCGCCACCCACCGCCCUCCACUGCCAGCUCUCAGCACCGCCUCCCACCGGUUCGAUCCUCCUUUGGCUCUCUCCACACCUAACUCUAAGGAGUUUGGAGAGUGGAACCAGGAAUUGGAAGAGACACCAAGAAAAGAAACACCUUGACAGGCAGAGGGCUGCUUGGACCUACAGUAAGGAUGCCAGACUCGAGUGGUCUUCUUCACAGGUCCUAGUGGGUGAGCGGCUGCUCCGCGCCUUGCCAGCCUGGGUCUAGUGCCGGCAUCUCCUCCUUAUCACCCCUGGUUCCUGUUUGCCUAUCAGUAGCCCUGCCACUGUGGCUCAGGACCCUGGCUGAAAACAGCCCGGGGGGCCUUAUCUUAUCUCCCGGGCUGCCUUCCCAGUGGCUUGUUGGCUGCCUGGUCCUAGUCUCUUAAAGGGGCUGCACUGCAUUCCCACUCAGUCUGGUCGCUAGAACACCCCCAGAAAUCUAGCAGAGCACUGCUGGUGGAGGGUCCGAUUCAUACCACCCCCUCCUCACACACCCUCUCCCAGCUACCUGGCUGCAGGGCUGCUGCUGGAAUGACUUACUGACUUUAAACAGGGAAAGAUGCUGAUGUUGUUACAUGCCUCUUUAAAUGCUUAUCAUAUCAUGCAAAUGCCCAGCACCUCGGUAUUUCCAGGCUCCUGCUCUGUUAAACUGAGUUUUUAAAAGGGGGGAGGGGCUCAGCAUACAAAGUCAAUAUAGAAAAAUCCGUAGUGCCUCUAUAUACUAGCAGCAAACAAUGAAGAUUGAAAUUUUAAAAACACUAUCUCUAAUAGGAUUAAAAACAUGAAAUGUUUAAGGAAUAAUCUUGACAAAAGACGAGGGAGACAGACCUACAUACGAAAAUUUAUAAGACACUGCUGAAAGAAAUUAAAUAAAAUAUAAAUAAGAAGAGAUAUAUCCACUUUGCUUGGAUCUCCAAUAACUAAGUUUAUCAAUCCUCCCCAUAUUUUUCUAUAGAUUGAACACAGUCUUUGGAAGUUCUUUGUAAACACUGGCACACUGACUGGGAAAUUCAUGGGGAAAUGCAAGGGACCUCUAAUAACUAAAAAUCUUUCAAAAGAAAGUACAAAGUUAGGGGUGCCUGGCUGGCUCGGUAGAGCAUUGACUCUUGAACUUGGGGGUUGUGAGUUCAAGUCCCAUGUUGGAUGUAGAGAUCACUUAAAAGUAAAAUCUUUAAGAAAAAAAAAAGUACAAAGUUAUAAGUCUUAGACUCUCUGACUUCAACAAUUUUCAUGAAUCUAAAGUAACCAAGACAAUGUGGUAUUGGUAUAAAGAUAUAUAUAUAUAUAGGGCUCCUGGGUGGCUCAGUGGGUUAAAGCCUCUGCCUUCCACUCAAGUCGUGAUCCCAGGGUUCUGGGAUCAAGUCCCACAUAGGGCUCUCUGCUCAGCAGGGAGCCUGCUUCCUCCUCUCUCUGCCUGCCUCUCUGCCUACUUGUGAUCUCUGUCUGUCAAAUAAAUAAAUAAAAUCUUAACAAAAAAAGAUAUAUACAUAUAUACACACACACACACACACAUAAAUGGAACAGAACAGAGAAUCGAGAAGUAAACCUAUGCACAUACAGUCAUUUGGUUUGCGAGAACAGUAUAGAAGCAAUUCACUGAGGGAAUGACAACCUUCUAAUACAUGCUACAGGAAAAACAGAGAUCCAUAUACCAAACACGAAACAAAGCCAAAACAAAACAAGCCCCCUGCCGCUACCUUAAAAAAUUAACUCAAAAUGGACCAAGAUCUAAAUGUGAGAGCCACAACUAUAAGAUUUCUAGAAGAAAACAUAGGAGAAAAAUCUUAGUGAUUUUCGGCUUGGCAAAUUUCUUAAACAACACACAAAAUUCGCCAACUUUAAAGAAAUGAUCAAUAAAUUGGAUUUCACCAAAAUAGCAAACUGCUCUUCAAAAGAAAUUGGCAAGCCAUAAACUGAGGGGCUAUGUUUGUGAAAUAUACAACUGAUGUAAGAUUUUUAUCUAGAAUGUACAAAGAACUUUUACAACUAAACAUGAAGGCGGCAAACAACACAAUAAAAAAAUAUAUGAGCAAAAGAUUUAAACAGACACCCCGCCAAAGAAGAUAUACAGUGUCAAAUAAAGUACAUAAGAAGAUGCUCCACGUCAUUAGUCAUUAGGGAAUGCAAAUUGAAUCCGCAAUGAAACAACACUACACCCACCCACCAGAAUAGCUAAAAUUAAGACUAAUCAUACCAAGUGUUGACAAGAAGGUAGGUGAAUUGGAACUCAUCCACUGCUGGUGAGGAUGGAAAUGGUACAUCCACUUUGGAAAAGUUCAGCAGUUUCUUAAAAAGUUAAACAUAGAGGGGCGCCUGGGUGGCUCAGUGGGUUAAAGCCUCUGCCUUCGGCUCUGAUCCUAGGGUCCUGGGAUCGAGCCCCACAUUGGGCUCUCUGCUCAACAGGGAGCCUGCUUCCUCCUCUCUGCCUCUCUGCCUACUUGUGAUCUGUCUGUCAAAUAAAUGAAUAAAAUCUUAAAAAAAAAAAGUUAAAUAUGGAGUUAUCAUACAAUCCAUUGUUUCUGAGGUAUUUACCCAAAAGAAAUGAAAGCAUAUGUCCAUACAAACUUGUUCACAAAUGUUCACUGCAGCUUGUUUGCCAGAGCCCCAAACUCCAAAAAAAUAAAUAAAUAAAAGAAUGUCCACGAACAGGUGAAUCCAAUGCAUGUGUUACAUCCAUACAAUGGGUGAAGACUUGGCAAUAGAAAGGAGUGAAUUAUUGAUACAUACAACAGCACAGACACAUCUCAAAAUAAUUAUGCUGAGUGAAAGAAGCCAGACCCCUCAACUAAAAAAUGUGUACUGGGGGCGCUUGGGGGGCUCAGUGGGUUAAAGCCUCUGCCUUCAGCUCAGGUCAUGAUCCCAGGGUCCUGGGAUCAAUGGAGCCCUGCAUCGGGCUCUCUGCUUAGCAGGGAGCCUGCUUCCCUUCCUCUCUCUCUGUCUGCCUCUUUGCCUAAUUGUGAUCUCUGUCAAAUAAAUAAAUAAAAUC